rnacentral:pre_miRNA from 15 species
AAACUUGCGAGGAGAUACAGGAAGUUAGGCUGAGGGGCAGAGAGCGAGACUUUUCUGUUUUCCAAAAGCUCGGUCUGAGGCCCCUCAGUCUUGCUUCCUACUCGGCGCUUGCGUUCCUC